rnacentral:rRNA from 1 species
AUUGAACGCUGGCGGCAGGCCUAACACAUGCAAGUCGAGCGGAAGAGCGGGGCUUGCUCUUGGAGCCAGCGGCGGACGGGUGAGUAAUGCCUAGGAAUCUGCCUCGUAGUGGGGGAUAACGUCCGGAAACGGGCGCUAAUACCGCAUACGUCCUGAGGGUGAAAGUGGGGGAUCUUCGGACCUCACGCUAUCAGAUGAGCCUAGGUCGGAUUAGCUAGUUGGUGGGGUAAAGGCCUACCAAGGCGACGAUCCGUAGCUGGUCUGAGAGGAUGAUCAGCCACACUGGAACUGAGACACGGUCCAGACUCCUACGGGAGGCAGCAGUGGGGAAUUUUGGACAAUGGGCGAAAGCCUGAUCCAGCCAUGCCGCGUGUGUGAAGAAGGUCUUCGGAUUGUAAAGCACUUUUGGUGGGGAGGAAAAGCAGUAAGCUAAUACCAUGCUGUUUUGACGGUACCAGCAGAAUAAGCACCGGCUAACUACGUG